UACGUAGGGCGCAAGCGUUGUCCGGAAUUAUUGGGCGUAAAGAGCUCGUAGGCGGCUUGUCACGUCGGGUGUGAAAACCCGGGGCUCAACCCCGGGCCUGCAGUCGAUACGGGCGAGCUAGAGUUCGGCAGGGGAGACUGGAAUUCCUGGUGUAGCGGUGAAAUGCGCAGAUAUCAGGAGGAACACCGGUGGCGAAGGCGGGUCUCUGGGCCGACACUGACGCUGAGGAGCGAAAGCGUGGGGAGCGAACAGG
rnacentral:rRNA from 1 species